rnacentral:rRNA from 1 species
UGGGGAAUAUUGCACAAUGGGCGCAAGCCUGAUGCAGCCAUGCCGCGUGUGUGAAGAAGGCCUUCGGGUUGUAAAGCACUUUCAGCGAGGAGGAAGGUGGUGAACUUAAUACGUUCAUCAAUUGACGUUACUCGCAGAAGAAGCACCGGCUAACUCCGUGCCAGCAGCCGCGGUAAUACGGAGGGUGCAAGCGUUAAUCGGAAUUACUGGGCAUAAAGCGCACGCAGGCGGUUUGUUAAGUCAGAUGUGAAAUCCCCGGGCUCAACCUGGGAACUGCAUUUGAAACUGGCAAGCUAGAGUCUCGUAGAGGGGGGUAGAAUUCCAGGUGUAGCGGUGAAAUGCGUAGAGAUCUGGAGGAAUACCGGUGGCGAAGGCGGCCCCCUGGACGAAGACUGACGCUCAGGUGCGAAAGCGUGGGGAGCAAAACAGGAUUAGAUACCCCUGGUAGUCCACGCUGUAAAACGAUGUCGAUUUUGGAGGUUGUGCCCUUGAGGCGUGGCUUCCGGAGCUAACGCGUUAAGUCGACCGCCUGGGGAGUACGGCCGCAAGGUUAAAACUUAAAGGAAUUG